UCAUGUUUGUAAAACUUCAAUAAUAAUCAUGACAUUCAUAUCUUUUCAAAUUUAGAUAUCCAACCAAUUUAUAAUAAUGCUUAAAGUAUUGCUUCAUUUAUAUAUUUUACACAUGUAUUUAUAAAAUCCUCUUUAUUAAAGUUAUCAGUGAAUAUAUUAUGAUAUAUUUUUGUUAGUAUAAUCAGUUGUUUCUAGGAGUGAUAUUCAUUCUAAGGGUAACCUGCAAAUUAUGUGAAUUGAAUUUCCAUCAGUGCAAAUUUCAGCAAAAUAUAUGUUGAAGCCUUAUUAUCAAAAACCUUUCCAACACCAAUAUGUGUAAACAAACAAAAGGAGAGCAUAUGUUAUCAGUAGACUGGCCCAGCUUGACCAAGGUAAUAUGAUACCAAUUCAAGCUGAUGAGUACAGGAAGUCCAUGCCAGUCAGACUCCAGACACCAUGGGGCCAACCCUGGGAUAUAAGGUUCAUUUCUAACUGACUGUAUUGUGACUUAUUUGAUGAUUUAUUUCAGUAAUAAAUACAUAAAAUGAAACAAUAUUGUAAAAGUAACUUCAAUGCAAUUUUAUAGUAUUUUAAAAAGCAUCUGUUGAACUCACAAAUCUUCAUUUUUAUUAAGUCUGUAUGAAUGAAAAACCUUUCCUGUGCCCCAACUUAAGAUUGACCAAUGUAAAACAAGGUCCCCACUUUGAAUUGAGUUUCCUGUGGCUGCAUGUGGACAUUUUGCAUCUCUGUGAAUCAGUAUAAAUUGUCCUAUCAAUCACUUCUGGAAAUAGAAUCAACUUCUGUCAUUCUGGACAUGGUAAGGAUAUGUGCAACCUAUCUACAUCUGCAUGUUGAAAAUUCUGUAAAUAAGUUACAUAAACAAACAGAAGAUGGACUCAGUGAAGUGAUCCAGAUGAAGAUUUCCAAGGGUCAACAAUAAAUGCACAAAUGCAAAAAGAUACAGUGAGCUCUGAAGUGGACGGAAAUGACAGGAAGAGUUAAAAGAUAUUGUAACUGUACUGAAAAAAGAACUGGUAUUAUCAACAUAUGAUGAAUAUUCUACCGAAUGCCAACAAAAACUAUAAGCCAUUAUUGCAG